CUCCACACUUCAAUUCAACUUUUGUAUCAAAAUGUGUUAGAUGUACUUAAUUCAGUAUUCAAAUACAAUUAUUCUACAAACCACACAUAUCCAAACUCUCAACAAACAAACAAUGAUUACGUAUAUCCCCUUUUUUUCCUAUGAACCCAAUCAAAUAAAUCAAAACCUAUCAAAAUCCUAAUUUCUACCAUCAAAGCUCCCAUUUCAAAACAUAGUUUGGGUAGUCGUUUCAUCUUUUCUUCAACUCUUGUGCGAAAGAACUUGAUCAUACCCUUGAUCAUACCUGAUCAAACUCUUCAAAUUCUUUAUAUAUUCGUCCUAAAGCCAGGAAGUAUUCAUGAUUUUCUUCUCGCGGAGGAGCUUCUUUAUCAAAAGAAUUCCAGAUUUGCGGCAAAGAGAAAGAAGAAUUGUAAAUCGUUCACUAUUAUCAUAAUCAGAUUCAAGUGAUCUCUGAACAAUUUCUAAGGUCAGCCAGAUAAAUGUAAAAGCAAAAUUAAAAAUGAAAAAAAUAGAAGGGAGAAGGAAGAACAAGAUCCAAUGACCAAUUAAGAGGUUCAGGAAUUACUGGUUCCAAAAAACCAUCAACAAAGGAGGUUGAUUAUCUAUCAAGUCCAGACGAGGUAUUAAUGUAAAUUUGUUUCAAUUACACAAAACUUAUAAAUGCUGAUAAAUUCUUGUAUGAAUACCUACAAUAGAAACAAGAAGAUCCAAUGGUUGAGGGAUAUGGGAGCAAAUGUAGAAGUCCUAAAUCUUCAAAGAAAAUGGGAAGGAAUGAACUUGCAAAGCAAGAGAAUGUUGUGAAGAAAAAACCAAGUAUUAAAAGCUCUUAUUAUAUUUAAAUUGAUUUUCUAAGCAAUACAGUCAAAUUUGUGAGGUUGAGGUAUGUCUAGGUUGCAAAAAGGAAAUUUGUGAAACCCACACGUGAAGAAGAAGAAGAAGAAGAAGCAAAAAAGGAAGAUAAUGUAUGGUGUCUAUAUUUAGCAAAUUGAUAAUAGAAACCCUAAACCCUAAACUGUAACCAACAAAUGUUGGUGAAUAGGAGAAUAGUGAAAGUGAAAAUGAUAAACAAGAAGAACAUGAAGAAGGAGAAGGUGAAAUAAAUGUGAAUGAGGAAAGUAGUUCAAAAAUGAAGGAAACAAAGGAAGAAUCAAUGGACAAUAAUAAGAGAAAAAAGGAUACAAAGAAGGUAA